GGGUGGCUGUUUGCUGUAGGAAUUUCAUUCUCGUUUGGAUACACGAAUUGUCACUGAUUUUCAGUUCACUCAGGUUCUUCUUGUGGUUAUUCCAAAUGGCACUGAUGCUGGAGGAAGAACUGCGGAGAGGGACCAUAUGGACCUCCAUUGCCUUUGCCACCGUCUUUCCCAUGCAUUGCAGCAGACUCUGUUGGGGCCCUGCCCAUAUCCUCUUGGCACUGGCUGUAUCUGUGCCCACCAGCCUGACUUUCAAUUUCAAGCACCUAUGAUUGCUGCCUGAGGGCUUUUGCUGCAGCCUGUCUGGGUAUAUGACAGCCUGGAGGUUUCAUGGAAUUUUUGCCCCCACCCACAGCCCUAGAGAACUCACCAGUGCGACCUGGCAAAUAAAUACCCCAGCCCUCAACCCUAA